UAAGAGCGACGGGCGAUGUGUACUUUUAUUAGGUCCAAUUCAAAUAAAAAUUUUAUUUUUAUUUUACUAUUACAUCCAAAUUAAAUUUAAUUCUACAUAAAAUUCCUAAAAAGUAACUCAUUAAAAACCAAAUUAUACUCUACACAUAGAUCUGAAUUAAGGAAAAAAUCUAAAAGCAAAAAUAACUAAAUUAAGGCUAAACAACCGUACAUAAAAAUAAAAAUUGGUUAAAGUAAAAGCGGGUUAUCUUUUAAAAUUAACAAAUUCCUGUAACAGGAUAAUAAACCGCCAGAAAGAUUAAGUUUCACAAAAAUUGACUACUACUUUACUAUAACCUAAAAAUAAUAGGGUAUCUAAUCCCUAGUUUAUA
rnacentral:rRNA from 1 species